AAAAUAUUAAUUAAAAUACUUAUUAAACACUAGGUUAAAGUCAUCACUCAUGCCAUUUUUUACUUAUUAUUCACAAAAACUUAACUUUGUAAACGUUAAAAUAUGAAAUUAGGGGCUUUUGAACGCAUUCAAACUAAAAAUCAAAAUACUCUGUGAACCUGUGAAAACACUCCCUCCACUUCAUUCAUACAACAUACAAUAACAAUGAUAAAACAAAAUUACAAAUGGAAUUUCCUUAUUUAAAUAGAUAUUUGUGCACUAAAUACAUAAUAAUAUGACAAAGAAGAAGAAGACGUUGCGUGUCACCGUAUAGCCAAGGAAAUAUCUUGUGAAAGUUUUAACUCAAGGCGGAAAUUUAUUGAAAAAAUACUCAACAUAACCUACAAUUACAGUGAAAUACUGAAAAUAUCUUGUACCGUGAUAAUAUUUCUGAAUAAUAAGUGCAAACCCGGUUGAAAGCACGAUCUUAGAGUAUCUAAGAUCGUGCUUUCAACCACAUACUUAAUACAAUUCCAUAAUCAUAUCGAAAUCCAAAAGUUCGUAAGUCGUAAGUGAUCAUAGUUUAGGUGUGUACUUAUUAGACUCAUGCAUUGUAAACUCUAUAAACGAUUACUCGUAAUGUAUUAAUCAUAUUAAAAGUUGAA